GCCCUUGUAGCUCAAUGGUAGAGCUCCGGCCUGGAAAGCCAAAGGCCAAUGGCUCGAUCUCCGCCCGGGACA
rnacentral:tRNA from 1 species